GCUUACGGCCAUACCUCUCUGGCUCCACCUGAUCUCGUCUGAUCUCAGAAGCAAAGCGGAGUAGUGCCUGGUUAGUACUUGGAUGGAAGACCGCCUGGGAAUCCCAGUUGCCGUAAGUA
ensembl:rRNA 5S_rRNA 5S ribosomal RNA